GGUUAAGCGACUAAGCGUACACGGUGGAUGCCCUGGCAGUCAGAGGCGAUGAAGGACGUGCUAAUCUGCGAUAAGCGUCGGUAAGGUGAUAUGAACCGUUAUAACCGGCGAUUUCCGAAUGGGGAAACCCAGUGUGUUUCGACACACUAUCAUUAACUGAAUCCAUAGGUUAAUGAGGCGAACCGGGGGAACUGAAACAUCUAAGUACCCCGAGGAAAAGAAAUCAACCGAGAUUCCCCCAGUAGCGGCGAGCGAACGGGGAGCAGCCCAGAGCCUGAAUCAGUGUGUGUGUUAGUGGAAGCGUCUGGAAAGGCGCGCGAUACAGGGUGACAGCCCCGUACACAAAAAUGCACAUACUGUGAGCUCGAUGAGUAGGGCGGGACACGUGGUAUCCUGUCUGAAUAUGGGGGGACCAUCCUCCAAGGCUAAAUACUCCUGACUGACCGAUAGUGAACCAGUACCGUGAGGGAAAGGCGAAAAGAACCCCGGCGAGGGGAGUGAAAAAGAACCUGAAACCGUGUACGUACAAGCAGUGGGAGCACAGAGCAAUCUGUGUGACUGCGUACCUUUUGUAUAAUGGGUCAGCGACUUAUAUUCUGUAGCAAGGUUAACCGAAUAGGGGAGCCGAAGGGAAACCGAGUCUUAACUGGGCGUUAAGUUGCAGGGUAUAGACCCGAAACCCGGUGAUCUAGCCAUGGGCAGGUUGAAGGUUGGGUAACACUAACUGGAGGACCGAACCGACUAAUGUUGAAAAAUUAGCGGAUGACUUGUGGCUGGGGGUGAAAGGCCAAUCAAACCGGGAGAUAGCUGGUUCUCCCCGAAAGCUAUUUAGGUAGCGCCUCGUGAAUUCAUCUCCGGGGGUAGAGCACUGUUUCGGCAAGGGGGUCAUCCCGACUUACCAACCCGAUGCAAACUGCGAAUACCGGAGAAUGUUAUCACGGGAGACACACGGCGGGUGCUAACGUCCGUCGUGAAGAGGGAAACAACCCAGACCGCCAGCUAAGGUCCCAAAGUCAUGGUUAAGUGGGAAACGAUGUGGGAAGGCCCAGACAGCCAGGAUGUUGGCUUAGAAGCAGCCAUCAUUUAAAGAAAGCGUAAUAGCUCACUGGUCGAGUCGGCCUGCGCGGAAGAUGUAACGGGGCUAAACCAUGCACCGAAGCUGCGGCAGCGACGCUUAUGCGUUGUUGGGUAGGGGAGCGUUCUGUAAGCCUGCGAAGGUGUGCUGUGAGGCAUGCUGGAGGUAUCAGAAGUGCGAAUGCUGACAUAAGUAACGAUAAAGCGGGUGAAAAGCCCGCUCGCCGGAAGACCAAGGGUUCCUGUCCAACGUUAAUCGGGGCAGGGUGAGUCGACCCCUAAGGCGAGGCCGAAAGGCGUAGUCGAUGGGAAACAGGUUAAUAUUCCUGUACUUGGUGUUACUGCGAAGGGGGGACGGAGAAGGCUAUGUUGGCCGGGCGACGGUUGUCCCGGUUUAAGCGUGUAGGCUGGUUUUCCAGGCAAAUCCGGAAAAUCAAGGCUGAGGCGUGAUGACGAGGCACUACGGUGCUGAAGCAACAAAUGCCCUGCUUCCAGGAAAAGCCUCUAAGCAUCAGGUAACAUCAAAUCGUACCCCAAACCGACACAGGUGGUCAGGUAGAGAAUACCAAGGCGCUUGAGAGAACUCGGGUGAAGGAACUAGGCAAAAUGGUGCCGUAACUUCGGGAGAAGGCACGCUGAUAUGUAGGUGAAGCGACUUGCUCGUGGAGCUGAAAUCAGUCGAAGAUACCAGCUGGCUGCAACUGUUUAUUAAAAACACAGCACUGUGCAAACACGAAAGUGGACGUAUACGGUGUGACGCCUGCCCGGUGCCGGAAGGUUAAUUGAUGGGGUCAGCGCAAGCGAAGCUCUUGAUCGAAGCCCCGGUAAACGGCGGCCGUAACUAUAACGGUCCUAAGGUAGCGAAAUUCCUUGUCGGGUAAGUUCCGACCUGCACGAAUGGCGUAAUGAUGGCCAGGCUGUCUCCACCCGAGACUCAGUGAAAUUGAACUCGCUGUGAAGAUGCAGUGUACCCGCGGCAAGACGGAAAGACCCCGUGAACCUUUACUAUAGCUUGACACUGAACAUUGAGCCUUGAUGUGUAGGAUAGGUGGGAGGCUUAGAAGUGUGGACGCCAGUCUGCAUGGAGCCGACCUUGAAAUACCACCCUUUAAUGUUUGAUGUUCUAACGUUGACCCGUAAUCCGGGUUGCGGACAGUGUCUGGUGGGUAGUUUGACUGGGGCGGUCUCCUCCUAAAGAGUAACGGAGGAGCACGAAGGUUGGCUAAUCCUGGUCGGACAUCAGGAGGUUAGUGCAAUGGCAUAAGCCAGCUUGACUGCGAGCGUGACGGCGCGAGCAGGUGCGAAAGCAGGUCAUAGUGAUCCGGUGGUUCUGAAUGGAAGGGCCAUCGCUCAACGGAUAAAAGGUACUCCGGGGAUAACAGGCUGAUACCGCCCAAGAGUUCAUAUCGACGGCGGUGUUUGGCACCUCGAUGUCGGCUCAUCACAUCCUGGGGCUGAAGUAGGUCCCAAGGGUAUGGCUGUUCGCCAUUUAAAGUGGUACGCGAGCUGGGUUUAGAACGUCGUGAGACAGUUCGGUCCCUAUCUGCCGUGGGCGCUGGAGAACUGAGGGGGGCUGCUCCUAGUACGAGAGGACCGGAGUGGACGCAUCACUGGUGUUCGGGUUGUCAUGCCAAUGGCACUGCCCGGUAGCUAAAUGCGGAAGAGAUAAGUGCUGAAAGCAUCUAAGCACGAAACUUGCCCCGAGAUGAGUUCUCCCUGACUCCUUGAGAGUCCUGAAGGAACGUUGAAGACGACGACGUUGAUAGGCCGGGUGUGUAAGCGCAGCGAUGCGUUGAGCUAACCGGUACUAAUGAACCGUGAGGCUUAACCUU
rnacentral:rRNA from 1 species